UUUCCGUAGGUGAACCUGCGGAAGGAUCAUUACAAUAUGAAAACAUUCAUAAAACCAAUUGUGUGAAUUUAUUUAAAUAAAAAUAAAAAAAGAAAUAUUAAUUUGGGUAGAUAGUAGGAAGUAGUAUUUUUAAUAAAUUAUUUAAAAAUAAUUUUUUUAAUAAUUAUUAUUAUUAUAUUCCCAAAUUAUAUAUUUUUUUUUUACAAAAAAAAAAACUACUAAUAAUUAUAAAAUUUGAUGUAUUAAAAAUUUAAUUAACCAAAAGAAACAACUUUUAACAGUGGAUCUCUUGGCUCGUGCAUCGAUGAGAACGCAGC
rnacentral:misc_RNA from 1 species